UUGAUUCAAGUGACAAUAAUUUUGGUGGCUUGCAACUAUCAUUUUGUUGAAAAAUCAAAAUCAAUAUGUCUUCAAUCUAGUAAUGAUGAGUAUAGUGCUAAGGUGAUAGCUAGCCGAGUUAUAACUAGUUGUUGUUCCUGACCUUUGGCACUGUAAUGCCAUUGUUGUUCCCGACCUAUGGCUCUCUUCCUGCUGUUUGAUCGGUUUUGGCUUGGGAGGAGGCAAGUCUAGCACUCCAUUUCACUCUAACCCAAUAUCAGGCAGUGUCUUUCAACACCUUCCUGUGAGUAAUGGCUUUUCAACUACGGAUUGCUUCAAUUAUUGAGGCCUUAUAAAAAAGUGUUAUGUAAGCUUGUUCAUAUGGUGAGCACUACAUAUGGAGAAGAAGCAAGCACUGCCUGUCUAGGUGAAGAAAUUGAUGAUUUGAUGCCAGGAGACGACAUUGCAGAGUUGUGUCCCUCACCAGAAAACUUCAAUUCUGACAAGCCAAUCUUUGGAGUUAGUUUAUGUCGUUUUUCCUUUUACGACAAUCAUAUUUUUUCCCAGUCAAAAAUAAAGUGGAAUUCGUGCAGCAUAAUUCCAUUUCGUUUUCCUAUUUACGACAAAUUGUAAAUCAAAAUGGAUAUGAAGAAUAUUCGGAUAUAUUCCACUCCAGUUUCUUUUUUUCAA